GCUCUUGAUCCAUUUCCUUCUCUCGUUUCCAGAAACUGGAUGCACGAACUUGAAAUAACCUUGAAGUGAUUCUCCUGGAAAGAGGAGUGAGUUCCAUGGAAAAGGCAUUGAAGUAAUUUCAUGUGAUGCACACUUUUGGGUUCCCACUUCCCACAGGAACACAUCAGAAGACAAGAAAAGGAGAAAUGAGAAAAAGGAGAAAUGAGAGAAAUGAGAAAUGAUUUUACACUCAUGAGCAUAGGAAAGGACUUGGACUGAAGCCUGACUAGGAAGCUCUCACAUGAUUUUCAUGCUCAUGAAUGUAGCCAGAAAUCUGAAUGUAAAUCACUGUAAGGUUUGGACAGCUGGGAUAAUUGCAGUGAGUCCUGCAGUCACUAGAACCCCUUGAAAGCAUCUCAGAAUUGCUGCCACGAUGAGACCAGGUGACAAAACAUGUCAUGAGAUGCUGUGUCUUCAGAAAAAUGCAAAGUUGGUGUAAUGUAACACUUCUCUGAUGAUAGAUAAGCCAGUGUAAUUGCACAAAAUAAAUGUCAUCACCUGUAUGAAGAUAAAUAGCCUUUCCUGCACUAGCUUGCUUUUGCACAUAAAAUGCUGCCAUUUUACCAGUUGUCUCCAUUUUUU